AUUCCGGGAAGGGGAUUGUCAGCGGGUCUGUGUGUUCUCAGCAGGCGCUGAGGUCCACCUGUCAUCUCCGUUUUAGGGACCGCUGUUUCUAUUAUUUAUAUAGCCUCUGUGCCCUCACAGUCCCUCCUCCUUGGUCCCCGACGGCUUUAACAUAAGACCCCGGGAUUGAUGGGGAAGCGAUGUUUGGGGUUAGAACUAUCCAGAUCCCACCUCCUCUGCCCCAGAUAAAACCAAAGGGUGCCAACUUCAAGCCCGCCCCCACUUCCCAAAGCAGGCCUGCAUUGGGGAGCGCCUGCCCCAUCUGCCUGUGGGCUAGAGGCUCUGGCCACAGGGCUGGGCGUGGUGGGGCUGCCCCUUGCUGACUGCACUUCCAUCCGCCAAGGUCGGGCUCUCACAGGAAGACAGCUGCGAGGGAGCCCAGGCUGCUGGCCAGCCUCGCAGAAGCCUCGUCUGUCCGUGUCCACAUUCCCUGCAAACGUCAGCCCUUCGCUGCUUUGGGGGGUGGGGAAUUUAAAGACCCAGAGGAUGGAGGGAGGCAGGGAGGCAGGCAGAGGUGCCGCCAGGCUCCUUGAGGGAGCUGGCCUGCAGCUGGCAGGUAGAGCGCUUGGGCACAGGCCUGGACUUCGGCCCCUGUGUUUCCCCUGUGUCAGCUUUUCUAUUUUAGGCCGGCUGCUCCUCCGGCAGGGAAUUCUCAGCGAGCCGUGGGAAACCCAGAAAGGCCGUGAGUGCUGGGUCUGCCUGGCCCCGUGGGCUUCCCCUCCAGUGCCCAGGUGAGGGGUACACACCAGCCUGGCACACACUCACACGAAGGUCACCUCUCUCCUGGGUUACAUGUCCCUGUUGAGAAUGUCCCAGCCUCGUGACCCAGUUGGGGCUCCUGGAUCUUAUCCCACAGAAAGAAUUCAUAGUCACGAAACUCUGGAAAUGACCAGACGUGCAAUGGAGGGCUCACAAGCAGCCAUGGGGGGGCGGGGGAUGGAGAGGGCUGCACGGGGGCGACGUGGGGACACACUCGCCAUCAGCUGUAGCCGGGAAAGGCAGGCUGCCAAGCCGCCGUGACCCGUUUGUGGAAACGGCACCUGCAAAGGGCCCAUGUGGUUCGAGGGACACACAGAGACUCUGGGGGCUGAAAGAGCGGGCUCAAGCCACGCGCUCUGUCAUUUACUGGCUGUGUGGCCUUGGGCAAAUCACUGAGACUCUCUGAACCUCCAUUUUCCUCAUCUGUAAAGGUUAGAAUAGUUCACAACUAGGUUUGGGACUUAAGAUUGUAUUUAAAGUCCGUAGGGGAGUGGAAGCACACAGUAGGCGCUCAGAAGGAACAGCUGCUGUGGUUUUUAAUAACACCGACACAAGUGGAAAUAGUUUGACGUGACAGAGAAACACAGGUGGAAUGUUAGCAGCCAAAUUUAUAUUCUUUAAAGAUGACCCUGUGAGCCACCGCUGCACAGCCCCACCCCGCAGAAAACCUACAGCCUUUGCAGAAUCCCCCUGGCUUUCUGGACCUGAUUCCCAUCUGGCCUGUCCCGGGAGCCCUUUCUUCCUCACUUGGUGGGACCCCUCUCUAACCAGGGGGAUUGCAUCCAGGUCGAGGUGGGGAGAGCUGCAGACCGGAACAGGUGGGGCCCGGCUUUGGAAGGGGCGGCCACAUUCCAGGGAUUCCUGCUCGGCGACCCGCCCGGCCUGGGCCCCCUCCCCCUCGGUGGGCCGGCGCCUGGGGCGCCCAGCACCACCUGGAGGGCCGUCCCUGUAGUCGCCCAGGCCUGGAGUCGGCGGGGCCUGAGGGCAGACGGAUUUAGUUGUGGGGACUCUGAAGCAAGUUAGGAUAGGUUUAAGUCCAACAGGAAGAGAGCGCAAACAUUCCAGGGUUCAUUCCUCCCAGGGGACUAUCCUGAGCACCCCUCCCAGCAGGCACUGCGGCCCUGACGGGCUGUCCCCGCUCCAGCCCACAGUCGUGAGGGAGGUGGACACAUGAACGGACCCUGGCCGGGGGAGGAAGAGGAGGCCGGCGGCUCAGCCAGGACUGGAAAGGCCUUCCGGAUGCCAGGGUUGAGAGCAGCCCACCUGACUCAGCCCGUGCCACCUGCCAAGAGUGUUGUGAUGAGGAGCGUAACCCAGCUCAGCCGGACACUGAACCAGUUGUUACAAAUGAAAGAUGAGUGUUUCCACUGGGCAGGGGCAAGGGGCCGUGGAAAUGUAGUUGGGGAGACUCACCUGGUUGGGAGUCAGCGGAGGAAGCCUAAGUGGACGUUGGCUGGGGAGGAGGAGGGGUGCGCUGAGGAGGGGAGCCCGCUGGAGGGACCUGGGCAAGUGGGGAGGGUGCCCAGGCCGGCGUGUGUUGUCUGGUGGAUGGGACAGCCUUGAGAAAUGUUGUGUUUAUAAAAGUUGUUCACGGAAACACGUUCCUUUACCAAUUAGCUCCCGUUGGCCAAAGCACAGUUAAUGUUCAGAAAAAACAAAUCUCCAGAAUGUUUUCCCCUUUUCUGUAGUUUUUAUUCUCUUUUCCAUUUCCACUUGUGAUUUUUCUGAGCCCGAGGACAUUUUGGGAGGGAUAUAAAAGGAUCUAAAACCUAGACAAUAGAGCAAACGCCUGCUUUUGUUAAGUUGCUUUACCUGCCAUGUUAUUUGGUUUCCGGCUUUUAGCUAUGACUGCUGAGGGUGGAUUACAAAAGCACUAACUCAGAGGACCUUCUCACUUACACCAGGAGGCUCCAUCUCCCGGGAAGAGGGAGGCCAGACCAAUUUACACGGGAACCUGGCUUGAGUCUGAGUUCUGGGGUCAGGACCCUUAUCCUGCCCCACCUGGAGGCUUGCAGGACUGGAAGUACUUGCGGUUUGGGGCCACAACCUGGGGUGCGUGGUUUGGGGGUGGCGUUAGGCUAGAGGGGGAGGCUGGUCUGGUAAACUCCGUCAGCAGAGUUUGGAUUUGGACCCGAGGGCGAUGGGAAACCAGAUCCGAGCCUUAAACUAGGGGGUGACAGAUCAGAGCUAGGGUUUUAGAAGUUCUUCCAGGGGCUGGCCCCGUGGCCGAGUGGUUAAGUUCGCGCGCUCCGCUGCAGGCGGCCCAGUGUUUCGUUGGUUCGAAUCCUGGGCGUGGACAUGGCACUGCUCAUCAAACCACGU